rnacentral:rRNA from 1 species
GAUGAACGCUAGCUACAGGCUUAACACAUGCAAGUCGAGGGGCAGCAUGGUCUUAGCUUGCUAAGGCCGAUGGCGACCGGCGCACGGGUGAGUAACACGUAUCCAACCUGCCGUCUACUCUUGGACAGCCUUCUGAAAGGAAGAUUAAUACAAGACGGCAUCAUGAGUCCGCAUGUUCACAUGAUUAGAGGGAUUCCGGUAGACGAUGGGGAUGCGUGCCAUUAGAUAGUAGGCGGGGUAACGGCCCACCUAGUCUUCGAUGGAUAGGGGUUCUGAGAGGAAGGUCCCCGACAUUGGAACUGGGCACCGGUCCAAACACCUACGGGAGGCAGCAGUGAGGGAUAUUGGUCAAUGGGAGCAUGCCUGAACCAGCCAAGUAGCGUGAAGGAUGACUGCCUUAUGGGUUGUAACCUUCUUUUAUAAAGGAAUAAAGUCGGGUAUGUAUACCCGUUUGCAUGUACUUUAUGAAUAAGGAUCGGCUAACUACGUG